rnacentral:misc_RNA from 1 species
UCCCCGUUUCACAGGGCAGUCCGUCCAGAGUGCUCGCCCGAAGGCGAUAGCAACAGGACGUAAGGGUUGCGCUCGUUGCGGGACUUAACCCAACAUCUCACGACACGAGCUGACGACAGCCAUGCAGCACCUGUGUAAAGCGCUAUAUUGCUAUAGCUAGGCGGCUUUCACCGCCGACACGAUACAUGUCAAACCCUGGUAAGGUUCUUCGCGUUGCAUCGAAUUAAGCCACAUACUCCACCGCUUGUGCGGGCCCCCGUCAAUUUCUUUGAGUUUUAAUCUUGCGACCGUACUUCCCAGGCGGUACGUUUAACGCGUUAGCUCCGGCACAGGCGGGGUCGAAUCCGCCUACACCAAACGUACACCGUUUACUGUCAGGACUA